rnacentral:rRNA from 1 species
UACGUAGGGGGCAAGCGUUGUCCGGAAUCAUUGGGCGUAAAGCGCGUGUAGGCGGUUACGUAAGUCUGCUGUGAAAGUCGGAGGCUCAACCUUCGAAAGCCGGUGGAUACUGCGUGACUAGAGUACGGAAGAGGAGAGUGGAAUUCCUGGUGUAGCGGUGAAAUGCGCAGAUAUCUGGAGGAAUACCGGUGGCGAAGGCGGCAUCCUGGACCGACAUUGACGCUGAACGGCGAAAGCUAGGGGAGCAAACGGG